AUUGAACGCUGGCGGCAUGCCUUACACAUGCAAGUCGAACGGCAGCGGGGGAGAAGCUUGCUUUUCCUGCCGGCGAGUGGCGAACGGGUGAGUAAUACAUCGGAACGUGCCCUGUAGUGGGGGAUAACUAGUCGAAAGAUUAGCUAAUACCGCAUACGACCUGAGGGUGAAAGUGGGGGACCGCAAGGCCUCAUGCUAUAGGAGCGGCCGAUGUCUGAUUAGGUAGUUGGUGGGGUAAAGGCCUACCAAGGCGACGAUCAGUAGCUGGUCUGGGAGGACGAUCAGCCACACUGGGACUGAGACACGGCCCAGACUCCUACGGGAGGCAGAAGUGGGGAAUUUUGGACAAUGGGCGAAAGCCUGAUCCAGCAAUGCCGCGUGUGUGAAGAAGGCCUUCGGGUUGUAAAGCACUCUUGUCCGGAAAGAAAUGGCUCUGGUUAAUACCUGGGGUCGAUGACGGUACCGGAAGAAUAAGGACCGGCUAACUACGUGCCAGCAGCCGCGGUAA
rnacentral:rRNA from 1 species